CGUCACAUGUUUCCUCAAGUA
rnacentral:misc_RNA from 1 species